AAGAGGAAAGUGGAAUUCCAUGUGUAGCGGUGAAAUGCGUAGAUAUAUGGAAGAACACCAGUGGCGAAGGCGGCUCUCUGGUCUAUUACUGACGCUGAGGCUCGAAAGCAUGGGUAGCAAACAGGAUUAGAUACCCUGGUAGUCCAUGCCGUAAACGAUGAAUAUUAGGUGUUGGAGGGUUUCCGCCCUUCAUUGCCGCAGAUAACGCAUUAUUGUAUUCCCCCUGGGGAGUACGCCCGCAGGUUUGAAACUCAAAGAAAUUGACGGGGCCCCCCACAAGUGGUGGAGCAUGUGUUUUAUUUGGAUGAUACGAGAAGACCUUUCCCAGCUCUUGACAUCUUGUACCAACCCAAGAGAUUGGGCGUUCCUUUCGGAGACAGAAUCACAGGUGGUGCAUGGUUGUCGUCAGCUCGUGUCGUGAGAUGUUGGGUUAAGUCCCGCAACGAGCGCAACCUUUAUUAUUAGUUCCCAGCAUUUAGUUGGGCACUCUAAGGAGACUGCCGGUGAUAAACCGGAGGAAGGUGGGGAUGACGUCAAAUCAUCAUGCCCCUUAUGAGCUGGGCUACACACGUGCUACAAUGGA
rnacentral:rRNA from 1 species